rnacentral:rRNA from 1 species
UACGGAGGAGGCAAGCGUUAUCCGGAAUUAUUGGGCGUAAAGAGCUCGUAGGCGGUUUGUCACGUCGGAUGUGAAACCCUGAGGCUCAACCUCAGGCCUGCAUUCGAUACGGGCAGACUAGAAUUCGGCAGGGGAGACUGGAAUUCCCGGUGUAGCGGUGAAAUGCGCAGAUAUCGGGAGGAACACCGGUGGCGAAGGCGGUUCUCUGGGCCUUACCUGACGCUGAGGAGCGAAAGCGUGGGGAGCGAACAGG